UACGAGGGGGGCAAGCGUUGUUCGGAAUUACUGGGCGUAAAGGGCUCGUAGGUGGCCAACUAAGUCAGACGUGAAAUCCCUCGGCUUAACCGGGGAACUGCGUCUGAUACUGGAUGGCUUGAGAUUGGGAGAGGGAUGCGGAAUUCCAGGUGUAGCGGUGAAAUGCGUAGAUAUCUGGAGGAACACCGGUGGCGAAGGCGGCAUCCUGGACCAACACUGACGCUGAGGAGCGAAAGCGUGGGGAGCAAACAGG
rnacentral:rRNA from 1 species